AUCUGUAUUAUCGAUGUAUCGUUCUAUAUUAUCGAAGUAUCGUUCUGUUUUAUCGACAUAAGAUGAUUGGGCGGUAGUAGGUAUUUAAGGUUAUGGCGGUGCAGUGAUAUCAAAUAAUACAUUAUUAUUUUGUUGCAAUGGUUAUCAUCGUUGAAUUUGACAACAUACCAUUAUAAAUGCUAUUCUAAAAGGGAUACACACAAUGCUGUAUUAUUUUAUUGCAAUGGUGAUCAUUGGUUGAACUUGACAGCAUACUUUUGAGAUUUUCUUCUAUUUGAAAGCUCUCUACAAAUUUACAUAUUACUCGACGUAAAAUACGCUCCUGACAUACGAGCCCAUGCCCGUCUAAAAUCUGCCACACAGCUAGGCCAAAAUCAAUAUGGUGAUGCAGCAGCAGCAGUAGCAGCAGUAGUAGCAGUAGCAGCAGCAGUAGUAGCACUAGUAGCAGAAGUAACCAACCGCGGCCUUUGUGCUGAUUAUUAAAUUCGCCGCAAUGUCGCGAAAGAAAAAGACCAACAGCCCACCCUUUCCCUACCCCCCGUUGAUCGUUCAAAACUCGAUUAUCGUCGUGAUAUAACAAUGACAGAAGAUACAGUCUUAUUUUUUUCCUUUACAAAUUGAUACAAAUUUGUCUUUUAGGUUAGUUUAGUUUGUCGUCUCGUGAAGAAAUAGUAUAUUACAAGAAAAAAA
rnacentral:lncRNA from 1 species